rnacentral:rRNA from 1 species
UCCGAUUCCUACGGGAGGCAGCAGUGGGGAAUAUUGCGCAAUGGGCGAAAGCCUGACGCAGCGACGCCGCGUGGGGGAUGAAGCUUCUCGGAGUGUAAACCCCUUUCGACCCGGACGAAUGACCCGCAAGGGUUUGACGGUACGGGUAUAAGAAGCCCCGGCUAACUACGUGCCAGCAGCCGCGGUAAUACGUAGGGGGCCAGCGUUGCUCGGAAUUACUGGGCGUAAAGGGUUCGUAGGUGGUGCGGCAAGUUGGAAGUGAAAUCUCUGGGCUUAACCCAGAGGCUGCUUUCAAAACUGCCGUGCUCGAGUGCGAGAGAGGUCAGUGGAAUUGCAGGUGUAGCGGUGAAAUGCGUAGAUAUCUGCAGGAACACCCGUGGCGAAGGCGGCUGACUGGAUCGCAACUGACACUGAGGAACGAAAGCUAGGGGAGCAAACAGGAUUAGAUACCCUGGUAGUCCUAGCCCUAAACCAUCGGAACUUGGGGUGGCCCGCGUAGGCGGGUCGUCCCGUAGCUAACGCGUUAAGUUCCGCGCCUGGGGAGUACGGUCGCAAGACUGAAACUCAAAGGAAUUGACGGGGGCCCGCACAAGCGGUGGAACAUGUGGUUCAAUUCGACGCAACGCGAAGAACCUUACCUGGGCUUGAACCGCUACUGACCAAGGGUAGAAAUAUCCUCUUCCCGCAAGGGACAGUAGUAGAGGUGCUGCAUGGCUGUCGUCAGCUCGUGCCGUGAGGUGUUGGGUUAAGUCCCGCAACGAGCGCAACCCUUACUCGUAGUUGCUACCCGCAAGGGAGAACUCUACGAGGACUGCUCCGGAUAACGGAGAGGAAGGUGGGGAUGACGUCAAGUCAGCACGGCCUUUAUGUCCAGGGCUACACACGUGUUACAAUGCAUGGUACAGACUGUUGCGAACCCGCGAGGGGGAGCUAAUCGGACAAAACCAUGCUCAGUUCGGAUUGCAGUCUGCAACUCGGCUGCAUGAAGCUGGAAUCGCUAGUAAUGGCGUAUCAGAUCGACCCCGUGAAUACGUUCCCGGGCCUUGUACACAC